rnacentral:rRNA from 1 species
AUACGGAGGGUGCAAGCGUUACUCGGAAUCACUGGGCGUAAAGCGCGCGCAGGCGGCUAUUUAAGUUGGAUGUGAAAGCCUACGGCUCAACCGUAGAACUGCAUCCAAAACUAUUUAGCUAGAGUGUGGGAGAGGAAGAUGGAAUUAGUUGUGUAGGGGUAAAAUCCGUAGAGAUAACUAGGAAUACCAAAAGCGAAGGCAAUCUUCUGGAACACUACUGACGCUGAGGCGCGAAAGCGUGGGGAGCAAACGGGAGUAGAAACCCUUGUAGUCC